AACGAACGCUGGCGGCAUGCCUAACACAUGCAAGUCGAACGAUCCCUUCGGGGAUAGUGGCGCACGGGUGCGUAACGCGUGGGAACCUGCCCUUAGGUUCGGAAUAACUCAGAGAAAUUUGAGCUAAUACCGGAUAAUGUCUUCGGACCAAAGAUUUAUCGCCUUUGGAUGGGCCCGCGUUGGAUUAGCUAGUUGGUGGGGUAAAGGCCUACCAAGGCGACGAUCCAUAGCUGGUCUGAGAGGAUGAUCAGCCACACUGGGACUGAGACACGGCCCAGACUCCUACGGGAGGCAGCAGUGGGGAAUAUUGGACAAUGGGCGAAAGCCUGAUCCAGCAAUGCCGCGUGAGUGAUGAAGGCCUUAGGGUUGUAAAGCUCUUUUACCCGGGAUGAUAAUGACAGUACCGGGAGAAUAAGCCCCGGCUAUCUCCGUG
rnacentral:rRNA from 1 species